GACAGAGGAUGCAAGCGUUAUCCGGAAUGAUUGGGCGUAAAGCGUCUGUAGGUGGCUUUUCAAGUCCGCCGUCAAAUCCCAGGGCUCAACCCUGGACAGGCGGUGGAAACUGCCAAGCUGGAGUACGGUAGGGGCAGAGGGAAUUUCCGGUGGAGCGGUGAAAUGCGCAGAUAUCAGGAGGAACACCGGUGGCGAAGGCGGGUCUCUGGGCCGAUACUGACGCUGAGGAGCGAAAGCGUGGGGAGCGAACAGG
rnacentral:rRNA from 1 species